rnacentral:lncRNA from 1 species
GGGACACCUUCCAGCAGGCGGGGCUUCUGCGCCCAGGACAUCCCCACGCCCCGAGAUCUCAGGUGAGGGCCAGGAACAGCGCUGAGGGAGAAGAAGGCAGGCCGGUUUUGUGUGGCCCAGUGGUGACAGCACCCACAAUCUCCACGACAGCCUCUGCACCGCUUUCCGGGGAACAGGGUCCAGCCAGUUCCUGGGU